GUGUGUGGUGGGGUGAGUAGAGUUUGUGUACGUAGCAUAAUGUUAAAGCAGUGUGGGUCUCUGAGCUUCAGUCUGCAUUGAAGUUUUUACACCCGUGAUGGCAGCCACCGUUCCUGGGAAGGGACUCUUCCUACUGUUUUGCCUUGUUUGCUUCAGAGGCUGCUGGUUCUCUGAGACAGAGCUCAGAUAACUUUGACAUUCAUUAGACAUUUGUUGGGUGUCUGUCAGAGACCAUUCCGCCGGUGCUCUCAACACUUGUUGCCUCACCCCUUCCCUGUGUUGUUUGUGCUGGAAGGACUGGUGGUCCCCAUUCUACUUGUGGAGGCUUAGAGGCAAAGCAUUGUAGUGGUUUCUCAGAUCUCAGAUUUUGAGUUGGAGUCAGAACUUGAGCUCUUGAAGAAGUCUUGAAGACUUCUGACUGCUGGGCUCUUUUGUCCAUAUCAUGCCUCCUGCCCUCUACUGGGUCCUGUAGGAGUGAGCCAGACAUAUUCCUUCACCUUCACCCCAAAAGGUCACGAUAUAGAAAAGGCAAUUAAGUGUAGUUCAUGAGAUAGUAAACUGCGCUGGUGUUUGGCAGGAACUUGGGAGCCCAGACGUUUUCAUUGGUGACGGGUCAUGAUGUGUCUAGCUGUUGUAUGCUAAUUUCAGCAGCUCAGGUAAUUCGACCUGGAAGGUUUUCCUACCUGCUAAAGUUGUUCUUAGGCAGACACCAUGUGGUCUGGAUGGAACAGACCCCCAUGCAGCUUUUUAAAUAAGGACAUACCAAGUAAUACCUUUCAAGUAAUACUUUGUGCAUCACAAAUACUCAGCAAAUGUAAACUUUCCUUUGUUCUCACUUCAAAAUUAAAUAGUCCCAAAUGUUGGAAAUAAGAUAACAAGAAAUUGAUCUAGAUAUGAGGUUAUUCUCCUUUAUUCUCUUUAGGCACCCUCCCCACCCCCCUUUUUUAAAGAAAUAACAAAUGCACUAGGUUAAAAACCAUACAUACACAUAUUAUAGAAUAGCCUAUAAUGAAAGCCUUGCUCUGUAGAAAAAAAAAAUGGUUGUUUUUAUCUAUUAGCAUCAGUAAAAGAUGGUUUCUACUAGAAGAUCUGUAACAAUAUUAUGUUCUAGGGGAAGUACAUUGAAAACUAUGGUAACUUAGUUGUCUGUAAAUUGAAGUUUAACCGUUUCAGUAAAGUAAACUUGUUUAGGGUCUUUAUUUUUCUAGCCUAGAUAGCUUUAGAUUAAUAUGAAUGUAAUUCUGGCCUUUUUAGAAAAUAUAACCCACCAGAACUAUUUUAUUUACCAGCAGAUUCACCCUUAGAACAGAUUUUCAUCCGGGCCCCGUGACUUGGAGAAAAAGGGAACAAGACAAUACUCAAUAGGAUCAUUAAGGAUAAAUCAGCUUUGCUACUCUGCCACCUAAAGAAGCAUUCUACAUUAUUAUUAAUCAGCAGAACCAGAAAGUUCUGCCUCCGCAGAAACUGAUGAAUGCAGGUGUCUUCUACCCUGGCAAGGCCAUAGAAUAUCAAAUUGAAAUUUGCAAAAAUAACCUAAAGUGACCAGAAUCACAUUUCUAUCCUUUAUAUGAAAACCCACUUUGGGAAUGAUUUAUCACUGCUUAUAAGAGUGUAAAAGAACAACCAAAACAGAUUUUCAGAGAAUGGUUUGUAUGAGGAAACAAGAGGAUAUUAAGAAAAAAGUGAAAACAGUUGGGUGCAGCAAAGAUAAUUGUUGAUUUCAGACUGAAAAAGGAAAAACUGUAUAUAUUUGAACUUCAAAAUAUUUUUUUUUAACCAGAGGAUGAACAGAAGCUAUCCAGAAUAUCAAAUCCAGAGAGCAGCUUUGAUGUAUUUUGCUGUUUCCUAGGUAUGUGGAUGACCUCUUUGGAUGGUUCUGUGACAAAUCAUUCUUAAAUUACCUUUUAUCACCACUACAACUUGCCAGAUCUUAACUAUCUUGGUACAUAGUUGGGUUGAUUCUCAGAGUAGGUACAGGUCAGUCCAGUUUUUAAUGUGAGAAGCCAGAAAGUCACUUUUUUUUGUUUUUUGUUUUAAAGAAAUUGUGACUACACAGGUACUAUAUUUCACCACAAGAGGGCGCUCUGGUGCCAUCUAGAAGCAAACAGGUAGUUUAACCCCCAACUCCCCUUCAUGGUUUGUUUACGAAACAUACAGUCAAUUUAGAGAAGCCCGCAAAAACUAGGUAAUGUUCUGAUUUGGAAUAUUUUGUUACAAGCAUUUAUUCAUAUAAAGGUCUCAGAAAAUUCUAGACAACUUGUAUUCAUUUUGUGACUUAAUCCAACCUGUGUGUGUGUGUAUAUGAGGCGCUUUGUGUAUAGAACCAGUGUUUAGAACCCAAAUACCUUGAGGUGACUAGUGCCAGCCAGUGACAGUUUUCACCAAAGAUAAAAUGCAAAAAGUAAGGAUAUAUACAACCUGUCUGUCCACCUGUGUGCACAUAUGUUCAUUUAUUCAGCAGACAGCUUUCUAGCACAUACCAUCAAUCAGGUAUUGUUUUAGGUACCAGGGAUGUGAUGCUGGGCAGGAAAAAGGCACUGAGACUGACAACCCCAGAUUAGAAAAAGUAUUGUAAUUUCUGAUCUGUGAAAUCAAAAGUCUGAAAACAUACUUGAGGAUAUCUAUCCAUAAAAGUCAACCUAUCAACCUAUAUAAUAUCAGUCAGUGAGUGAAGAAUAGACUUUUUUUUUUUUUUUUUGCCUCCAGAUAUGACCACACAGUUAAUCUGGUUUAGCACUGUCCACAAAAAAUUUCUAUGAUGAUGGACAUUCUGUGUCCGUACCACCCAGGCUGGUAGCCUCCCCCAUAUGAGCUGUAGUCCACUUGAAAUGUGACUGGUGUGAGUGAGGAAGUGUAUUUUUUUUUUUAAUUUUUUUUUUUAACAUUUAUUUAUUUUUGAGACAGAGAGAGACAGAGCAUGAACAGGGGAGGGGCAGAGAGAGAGGGAGACACAGAAUCCGAAACAGGCUCCAGGCUCUGAGCUGUCAGCACAGAGCCCGACGCGGGGCUCGAACUCACGGACCGUGAGAUCGUGACCUGAGCCGAAGUCGGACGCUUAACCGACCAAGCCACCCAGGUGCCCCGAGGAAGUGUAUUUUUAAUCUUACUUGGUUAAUGUAAAUAGCUACCUGUGGCUAGUGGCUCUUGCAUCAGCCAGCACAGGCCCAGUUGGUCAGGCUCAGGUAGUGAGCCAUUUUGCCUUUUAGUUUCCAGUGUGUCCCAUGUCCUUUGGCUUUUUUGUUGUUGUUGUUCCAAUAACUGGCAGAGCCAGCCUAGCUUCUAUUCACUCUUAUUUCCAGACUUAAUUUCCCUGCCAGCUUGAGAAACAAGGAAGGGAUUGCUUUCUGAGUCAUUGUUGAUGUGCCUCAGAUGGCUACACACACAGCUUUCAGUUUGAUCACAAAAGACAACUACGUGUACUUUGUGCCUGUGUGUGCAUGAGGGUAAACUGGUUGCAAUAUUGAAAGACCAAAAGCUGUUUCUGAUGGGAAAUAUUGAAUCAGCAGAAUUGGAAACACAGCUGUGUGGUUCUGAUGGGGACCUACUUUCUUCUGUCAGUCAGUGCUCACUUAGCACUCAUUGUGUGCAGGGCAUGCGCUAUGCCAGGCUCUGUAGGGAGACCUCAAGGAGAUGCUCAGCAUAGGUUCUUGAAACCUGUCUCUUAUUUGUCUCUGUUGAUUGUCUUUAGGAAUUUAAGAAGUUCGUAAAACAGUGAAGCGGUCCAGGUCUCUAGCAAGAAGAGGGACAGUGUACAGGGAAAGAGCUCAGGGGUCCCUCUUGGACCUUUCCUUGUGGACCGAGGAUCUUUAUGUCCUGCUGGGGCCAGAGGAUGUGAAGGCAGCUGCCUAGGCUAGAGAUGCUGGUGAUGAUCUAGAAACCUGAGUGGGGCCCAGAGAAGAGACCCAGCAAGAGGUGGCACGGAGGGACAGGCAGUGGCAGUCUCGGGGACUUGAGAUUUCAUCCUCAAGGUAGUAGGAAGCCUUUGGAGACUCUUAACCAGUGGCAUGUGAUGAUCAGGAUGGACAACCGUGGCCUGUAGUUCCCGGACAGCCUAAUGUGGGAGCAAUGCGCGACAGAGCUCAGUUUGAAUCCCGGCUGUCAAUGACUUAGAGCUAUGGCCCUGUGCCAUUCCCGCAGCCCACCGUGUCCAGCUACAGACCACCCUCCUCACGCAUCAACACAAGGUCAAUGGUAGCCUAAGGCGGCAUCACAACGGUUAUGUCAUUCCCGUGCCUUCAUCUCGUCACGUGCGCGUUUUAUCAUCUCCCGUCACCACAAGAAGCAUACGUACGGUCACAUAGGUAUGUCCGUCUAGGAAACAACGUGGUGUAUGUAGGGGUCGGCACUAUCCGUGGUUUCAGGUGGCAUUGGGGGUCUUGCAGCGCAGGCCCCACUCAUAAGCGAGGGGCUACUGUAGCGACGUGAGGAAUCACAAGGAAGCACCAAGUGGAGUCACAGGGCCUGGAUUUGAGUCUCCGCUCCAUUGCUGACUGGCUGUGUGAUCCCAGGUAACUCAUACAACCUCUCGAGCCUCGGUUUUCCUCAUCCAUAAAAUGGGAACGCUACUGAUAAUAGGCGCUUCAGGAGACUGUGGUGAACUAAGGUACGUGAGCUUGUUUUUUAAGCUAGAAAGCCUCACCAGUGGUUCCCUGGGAUCAUUUUUCCCCCCAGACUGAAACAUCCUGGUUCUAAAAACCAGGUAACAUUAAGAGAGCCUCUGACUCUGACUCCGGCCUCACUUGCUUGUCUGGAGUUCAGCUCACUUAAAUUCCUCCCCGGCGGUUCUGAAAUCGCUGGGCCAGAGGUACUGGUAGAGAGUCUGUUUUGCUCUGAGCAAGGAACUCCAAGCCUUUUCUGGGGACAUGGCCCUUUAUGCACAGGCUCUCCCAUUUUCACCCACUUGACCCCACUACCUUUUCUACACCUGGUGGGACUAGGGGUGGACUGUCCUCCCAGGGUAUCUGACGGGCCAACAGCUCCCCAAGCCUCCCCAGGCAUCCACGUGCCGGAGACCCUGCCCCUCUCCUGUGCCGAAGUUUGGACUCCGGGGCACAAGAUGGGAGAGGGAGGCUUGGGAGCAGAGUGAGGGUAGCUGAUGGCACACCUCACCCCUGCCGGGGGCAGAGGUGCCCGGUGCCUGGGAGAAACUGUUCUGCCUCCUGCUGUUCUCCAGCUGUGUUCAGUUCCCCUUCUUUCCGGCCUUCCCUGUAAACUCCCACCGGUUAGGGCAACCCGAAGUAUUGCUGUGUCUCUCAGCUUAGAGGAGCCUGAUUGCCAUGGGAGGAUCUCAAGGUCCCUCCAGAGGGAGUGGAGUUUGCUCAGAGUAACGUGCAUCAGCUACUCUAUUUGGAAGAUGGAAACACCCAUUAAGUCUACUGACCAGGGACUGGUAAACAGGACCUUGGCAUCCACACCACAGUGAGAUCCUACAGCUGGAAAAUAGCACAAGGAGGCCCGUUAGGUACCGAUGCGGGGUGCUUGCUCCACAGGACAUUUUCCUCUGCAAAAAAGUGUGAGGUUCAGAACAGUGUGUGUAAUCUGAUGUCACUUGUGCAGCAGAUCAAAGACUAAAAUAUCUCUGGAAUAUCACACAUAAUGUAACGGCACUAGCUGUCCGUGAGGAACGGAGCCGGGUGGUGGUGGUGAGGGAAGGAAUUUUCACUGAACAUCCUGCAGUGACUUUUCUAAAUCGAGAACACUGAAAUGUAAUCACCUGCUUAAACAGUGAAAUCAGAAAAAAAAGCUUAGAACUGUGGCUUGUGAGGUGGAGCAGUCCUGAGUUCAACUUUGGCUCCACGAUAUAUUGCCGUGCAUUAGCGAACGAGUGGCUCAACCUGUCUGAACUCGGCUUUCUUAUCUGUAAAAUAAUAACAGUAAUGCCUGCCUGAUAGGACUGUCAUAAUGCUCUACCCUUGUUGGCCCAUAGUAGCCAUUCACCUUUGAUUGGCUAUUGUUGUCAUUGCCAAUUUCCUUACAAGGCACUUAACAUUUCCCCUUUGCUUGUCCCCUGCUCCUUAAGAUACACGAUUUCAAGGCAGUGUUAUGUUUCGUUUGCAUUUUUUGUCCUUUUUGUUGGUUCGUUUUUGUCCAAUACUUUCCCCAGGAUAAGGGCCUUGGGGGUUGGGCCAAGUAAAUUAGAAUCAGCUUCUGUUGUACUCAAAAUUAGUCCUCUAUUUGAAAUGAGCGCAUUAUUUGGACCCAGCCUAUGCCUAUCUUCCUUUGCAGUGAGUUCUCCCAGUCCCUCCUGUAGUCUGACAGCCCACUGUGGAUCUUCUAAGCACUUCUAAAUGCCUGGUGAACACAGUCUAUGUUAAGCUAUGACAUUGGUGGUUAUUAUGGUCCCCAAUUCCCAUCGUCUUCAAUCACAGUAUUGUAUGCACUACAGUCACGGACAUGUGACCAGGAUUCCAGCACAGUGACAGCUCCAAGGGCUCAGGGGCUGGAUAGACAAGGUCCCUGCUGCUUCUAACAGGAGAGAAACAGCAUCCAGGCCAACUUGGUCCCUGUGCUGGCACUAGGGGGUGCUCUUUUGUUUAGCUAUUUUCUUAAGUUUCCCUUUAGGUUUUUGAAUGGAUGGGCCUGCUGUGAUCAUUUCUUGAUGAAUGAGUGAACAAUAAAAGCUGUAGGAAUGUGAUUGUGGAAAGGAAAGCCAGGCCUGCGUGUCUGGUUUUCUUUCUGUGGGGAGUGAGGGUUAAUGCAGAUUCCCAGGCUCAAGUGCCAGAGGCCCGGCUCCGUAAGCCUGGGAUGGGGCCCAGGAAUGUGCAUUGUAGUAAGAACUCAGACGAUUGUGGUAUGCGUUCCGAAGGCCAAAUGUGGGUAAGGAAGACAGGGUUUUGUUGUUUUUUGUUGUUGUUGUUGUUGUUGUUGUUUGUUUUAAUCUCCUUUUCCUGUCUUUUCAUGAAGAUGUGCCUGCUGACUGUCACUCAUGCUCAUUGUUGCCCCUCCUUGGCCUGCCAAUCUCUGCCUGUGUGUGUGUGUGUGUGUGUGUGUGUGUGUGUGUGCGCGCGCGCGCGCUCACAUUUGUUAGAUCUUCAUCUGUGGGAAUCUUCCAGGUUUAAACAGGGCGGGGGCGGGGGUGCUCUCUUCUGGAAGGAUUUGCUUCUGUUUCUGCUGAGCGCUGCUAACUUGGAACCACUCAGACCUCUUCCACAGUUGUGGCCUAAUGGAAGAGUCCAAGGUUCGGCUCCCCCUCCAGGCUGCUGGCUCAAGGGUAUCUGCAUCGCGCCUCGGCUGCCACCAUUUGCUCUGAGGACAGUUCUGCUCUUCCCUGCCUGAUCCCUGCUUGCAGCUCUAAGUUCCACUUAUGGUUUGCUCCUUUUUUUUUGCAGGGAGGGGGUCCCUCAGCAAUUUCCCCGAUUUCCUACAAGCCCAGUGUUGCAUCAAUAAGUAUGCUUUUAUCUGGGAUGUAGUCGUUUUGCAGCAGGAGGGUUUCCCCAGCCCCCCCACCCCCCGCCCCGGAAAAUUGAAUCCAGCACCUUACCAGUGGACAUCUUUAUUUUCAAAGGUAGACGUGCUUAUUCCUGUGAGAUGAAAGGCUAAUACAUCCAUUGUGGGAGAAUUACUCAUCGAGCAGAGGCAGUUUGGCAUCCCACACCGUGGGAGGGUUGAAAGAACCAGGAACACGCCUGGAGAUGCUGUGUGUGUUACUCCUCGGAUAACUGCCAGUGUCUUGCAUUGGGUUCCACUCUGGGUAUCUUGUUGAGGCCUGACAAGGCAAGAGGCAGGGUCGCAACAAAUUCUGCAAUGUUAUUUGUGUCUGCGUCUAUCUUUUUGUUCCCUCUUAUUCCAGGGAAGGAGGUGUUCCUCCCAUAUCAACACCUGUCCCCACCCUGUGGGCUUUGGAUCCCAUCCCUCUGAUCUCCCCAGGGACUUCACUCCUUCUGGAAUCCUCCCUCUGCUGCACCACCAGUCUCUCUCUUGGUAGACAAGUCUCAUGCCAAAUGUGCUCCCUGUCCCAUCUUUAAAAAACCCACCCUUGACCCAAGCUACCUCACUUUUCUGUUCCCCUUUAGAACCAAAUACCUCAAAACACUUGUCUACACAUGCCACCAUCACUUCUGCACUUUCUGUUUACCUUCAUUUCUCUUUGGUUUCUGUUUUUGGUGGGAUGAUCCACACACUUUUUUUUAAAGAAUCAAGCAGUUCCAUAAGGCUUGUGAUGAAAAAUAGUCCCCUGGUCUGCUUCCCGCAUCAAAGACAGCUACCUAUAACUCCU